GAGCUGAUGGAUGCUCGUCCAAGCAGUGAGGCUGGUGUGUAGGCAAAUCCGCACACUUUAAGGCUGGGCUGUGACGGGGAGGGAAAAUUAUAGUACCGAAGGUCAUGAUCUCACACUGCCAAGAAAAGCCUCUAACCAGGUGAAGGUGCCCGUACCGCAAACCGACACAGGUAGGCGAGAAGAGAAUUCUAAGGCGCGCGGAAGAACUCUCGUUAAGGAACUCGGCAAAAUGACCCCGUAACUUCGGGAGAAGGGGUGCCCCGGUAGUGUGAAUAGCACGAGGGGGCCGCAGUGAAAAGGCCCAAGCGACUGUUUAGCAAAAACACAGGUCUGUGCGAAGCCGCAAGGCGAAGUAUACGGGCUGACGCCUGCCCGGUGCUGGAAGGUUAAGGGGAGCGGUUAGGGAGUAAUCCCGAAGCUGUGAACCGAAGCCCCAGUAAACGGCGGCCGUAACUAUAACGGUCCUAAGGUAGCGAAAUUCCUUGUCAGGUAAAUUCUGACCCGCACGAAUGGCGUAACGACUUGGGCGCUGUCUCAACGAGAGAUCCGGUGAAAUUUUAAUACCUGUGAAGAUGCAGGUUACCCGCGACAAGACGGAAAGACCCCAUGGAGCUUUACUGCAGCUUGAUAUUGGAUUUGGGUACGAUCUGUACAGGAUAGGUGGGAGCCUUUGAAACCUGAGCGCCAGCUUGGGUGGAGGCGCCGUUGGGAUACCACCCUGAUCGUAUCUAGGUUCUAACCUGGUACCGUAAUCCGGUAUGGGGACAGUGUCAGGUGGGCAGUUUGACUGGGGCGGUCGCCUCCUAAAGAGUAACGGAGGCGCCCCAAGGUUCCCUCAGAAUGGUUGGAAAUCAUUCGAAGAGUGCAAAGGCUG
rnacentral:ncRNA from 1 species